UACGUAGGUGGCAAGCGUUGUCCGGAUUUACUGGGCGUAAAGAGCGCGCAGGCGGUCGGAUAAGUCGAAUGUGAAAGCCCCUGGCUCAACCAGGGAGGGUCAUUCGAUACUGUUCGACUCGAAGGCAGGAGAGGGAAGUGGAAUUCCGGGUGUAGUGGUGAAAUGCGUAGAUAUCAAGUAGAACACCAGUGGCGAAGGCGAGUCCCUGGAAAACUCCUGACACUGAGGCACGAAAAGCUAGGGGAGCAAACAGG
rnacentral:rRNA from 1 species